UACAGAGGUCUCAAGCGUUGUUCGGAUUCAUUGGGCGUAAAGGGCGCGUAGGCGGUCCGACAAGUCGGGGGUGAAAUCCUGCAGCUUAACUGCAGAAGUGCCUUCGAUACUGUCGGUCUUGAGGGAGAUAGGGGUGUGCGGAACUUCCAGUGGAGCGGUGAAAUGCGUUGAUAUUGGAAGGAACGCCGGAGGCGAAAGCGGCGCACUGGAUCUCUUCUGACGCUGAGGCGCGAAAGCUAGGGGAGCAAACGGG
rnacentral:rRNA from 1 species